GCAUUAAUGGGGUAGUGGUAACCUGGGUCGUUGCCAUCCGCUAGCUCGACCCGCCGGGGGUUCGAUUCCCUCUUAAUGCA
rnacentral:tRNA from 1 species